AACGAACGCUGGCGGCAUGCCUAACACAUGCAAGUCGAACGAGACCUUCUGGUUUAGUGGCGCACCGGGGCGUAACGCGUGGGAACCUGCCCUUAGGUUCGGAAUAACUCACUGAAAGGGGUGCUAAUACCGGCGAAUGUCUUCGGACCAAAGAUUUAACGCCUGUGGGUGGGCCCGCGUUGGAUUUGCUAGUUGGUAGGGGAAAAGACUUACAAGGCGACGUUCCAUAGCUGGUCUGAGAGGAAGUUCAGCCACACUGGGACUGAGACACGGCACAGACUCCUACGGGAGGCAGCAGGGGAGUAUAUUGGAAAGUGGGCGAAAGCCUGAUGGAGCUGUGACGCGUAGGUGGAGGAGGCAUGAGGGUUGUAAAGCUUUUUUACGCGGGAUGAUAAUGACAGUACCGGGGGAAUAAGCUCCGGCUAACUCCGUG
rnacentral:rRNA from 1 species